rnacentral:rRNA from 1 species
CCCUUAGAUGUUCUGGGCUGCACGCGCGCUACACUGAAGCUAUCAACACGUUUUCCCUCCCUGAGAAGGGCGGGUAACCUUUUGAAUCAGCUUCGUGGUAGGGAUCGGGGCUUGCAAUUGUUCCCCGUGAACCAGGAAUUCCUAGUAAGCGCGAGUCAUCAGCUCGUGCUGAUUACGUCCCUGCCCUUUGUACACACCGCCCGUCGCUCCUACCGAUUGAGUGCUCAGGUGAAUAAUUCGGACUGCAGCAAUGUUUGGAUCCCGAACGUUGCAGCGGAAAGUUUAGUGAACCUUAUCACUUAGAGGAAGGAGAAGUCGUAACA